ACACUGAGGAACGAAAGCAUGGGUAGCGAAGAGGAUUAGAUACCCUCGUAGUCCAUGCCGUAAACGAUGUGUGUUAGACGUUGGAAAUUUAUUUUCAGUGUCGCAGUGAAAACGAUAAACACACCGCCUGGGGAGUACGACCGCAAGGUAAAACUCAAAUGAAUUGACGGGGACCCGCACAAGUAGUGGAGCAUGUGGUUUAAUUCGAAGAUACGCGCAGAACCUUACCAACACUUGACAUGUUCGUCGCGACUUUAAGAGAUUAAAGUUUUCGGUUCGGCCGGACGAAACACAGGUGCUGCAUGGCUGUCGUCAGCUCGUGUCGUGAGAUGUUGGGUUAAGUCCCGCAACGAGCGCAACCCUCACUUUUAGUUGCCAUCAUUAAGUUGGGCACUCUGAAGAACUGCCAGUGAUAAGCUGGAGGAAGGUGGGGAUGACGUCAAGUCCUCAUGGCCCUUACGUGUUGGGCUGCACACGUGCUACAAUGGUAUAUACAACAGGAAGCAAGACGGCGACGUUAAGCAAAUCCUCAAAAGAUACCUCAGUUCGGAUUGCACUCUGCAACUCGAGUGCAUGAAGCUGGAAUUACUAGUAAUCGUGGAUCAGCGUGCCACGGUGAAUGCGUUCCCGGGCCUUGUACACACCGCCC
rnacentral:rRNA from 1 species